GCUUAGAGUUUGAUCCUGGCUCAGAUUGAACGCUGGCGGCAUGGCUAAAGCAUGCAAGUCGAACGAUACAGUGGCGAAAGGGCGAGUAAUGGCAUCGAACGUACCCCGAGGUGGGGGAUAGCUAGGGGAAACCCUGGGUAAUACCCCAUGUGCUCUCCGGAGGAAAGGCUUGUCCGCCUCGGGAGCGGCGAUGCUCCUAUCAGGUAGUUGGUGAGGUAAAGGCUCACCAAGCCUAAGACGGGUAGCGGGUGUGAGAGCAUGACCCGCCGCAUCGGGACUGAGACACUGCCCGGACUCCUACGGGAGGCUGCAGCAACGAAUAUUCCGCAAUGCGCGAAAGCGUGACGGAGCAAUGCCGCGUGUAGGAUGAAGCGGUUUCGCCGUGUAAACUACUGUCAGGGUGUAGGAAGAUCUGACCGCACCCAGAGGAAGGGCCGGCUAAACUCGUGCCAGCAGCCGCGGUAAGACGAGUGGCCCGAGCGUUAUUCAGAAUCACUGGGCUUAAAGCGUGCGCAGGCGGACCUGCAAGCGUCCCGUGAAAUCCCACGGCUCAACCGUGGAACUGCGGGGCGAACUGCUUGUCUUGAGGGAGGCAGAGGCCGACGGAACCAUAGGUGGAGCGGUGGAAUGCGUAGAUAUCUAUGGGAACGCCAAAGGAGAAGUCAGUCGGCUGGGCCUUACCUGACGCUCAUGCACGAAAGCGUGGGGAGCAAACAGGAUUAGAUACCCUGGUAGUCCACGCCCUAAACGAUGCGCACUAGAUCGAGGGAGCUCUGACGCUUUCUCGGUCGAAGAGAAAUCGUUAAGUGCGCCGCCUGGGGAGUACGGUCGCAAGGCUAAAACUCAAAGGAAUUGACGGGGGCUCACACAAGCGGUGGAGCAUGUUGCUUAAUUCGAAAGCACGCGAAGAACCCUUACCGGGUUUGACAUGCACGGAUUAGCCUUUGGAAACAUAGGUAACGCCCUUUUGGGUGGAACGUGCACAGGUGCUGCAUGGCUGU
rnacentral:rRNA from 1 species